rnacentral:rRNA from 1 species
UACAGAGGGUGCAAGCGUUGUCCGGAUUUAUUGGGUGUAAAGGGUGCGUAGGCGGGACGAUAAGUCCGAGGUGAAAGCCCGCAGCUUAACUGCGGAACUGCCUUGGAUACUGUCGACCUUGAGUCCCGGAGGGGUGGCUGGAAUUCCUGGCGUAGCGGUGAAAUGCGUAGAUAUCAGGAGGAACACCGGAGGUGUAGACGGGUCACUGGACGGGUACUGACGCUGAGGCACGAAAGCGUGGGGAGCAAACAGG